AGUGAACGCUGGCGGUAGGCCUAACACAUGCAAGUCGAACGGCAGCACAGUAAGAGCUUGCUCUUACGGGUGGCGAGUGGCGGACGGGUGAGGAAUACAUCGGACUCUACUUUUUCGUGGGGGAUAACGUAGGGAAACUUACGCUAAUACCGCAUACGACCUACGGGUGAAAGCAGUGGAUCUUCGGACCUUGCGCGAUUGAAUGAGCCGAUGUCGGAUUAGCUAGUUGGCGGGGUAAAGGCCCACCAAGGCGACGAUCCGUAGCUGGUCUGAGAGGAUGAUCAGCCACACUGGAACUGAGACACGGUCCAGACUCCUACGGGAGGCAGCAGUGGGGAAUAUUGGACAAUGGGCGCAAGCCUGAUCCAGCCAUACCGCGUGGGUGAAGAAGGCGUUCGGGUUGUAAAGCCGUUUUGUUGGGAAAGAAAAGCAGCAGGUUAAUACCCCGCUGUUCUGACGGUACCCAAAGAAUAAGCACCGGCUAACUUCGUG
rnacentral:rRNA from 1 species